rnacentral:rRNA from 1 species
GAUGAACGCUGGCGGCGUGCUUAACACAUGCAAGUCGAACGAAGCACUUUAUUUGAUUUCCUUCGGGACUGAUUAUUUUGUGACUGAGUGGCGGACGGGUGAGUAACGCGUGGGUAACCUGCCUUGUACAGGGGGAUAACAGUUGGAAACGGCUGCUAAUACCGCAUAAGCGCACGGCAUCGCAUGAUGCAGUGUGAAAAACUCCGGUGGUAUAAGAUGGACCCGCGUUGGAUUAGCUAGUUGGUGAGGUAACGGCCCACCAAGGCGACGAUCCAUAGCCGACCGGGGAGGGUGACCGGCCACAGUGGGACUGAGACACGGACCAAACUCCGACGGGAGGCAGCAGUGGGGAAUAUUGCACAAUGGGCGAAAGACUGAUGCAGCGACGCCGCGUGAGCGAAGAAGUAUUUCGGUAUGUAAAGCUCUAUCAGCAGGGAAGAUAAUGACGGUACCUGACUAAGAAGCACCGGCUAAAUACGUG